UCCGAUGUCGUCUAGUGGUUUAGGAUUUCGCGUUUUCAGAACCUCUCAGGCACAGAAGACCGCGACGGCCAGGGUUCGAACCCCUGCAUCGGAG